rnacentral:tRNA from 1 species
GGGGGUGUGGCGGAAUAGGCAGACGCAGAGGACUUAAAAUCCUCCGCCGAAAGGCGUAUCGGUUCGAGUCCGAUCACCCCCACCA